UAUCGACGAGUUUGAUCAUGGCUCAGAAUGAACGCUGGCGGCGUGGAUUAGGCAUGCAAGUCAAGGGAGAAAAGUCCUUCGGGACCUAGUAAACCGGCGAACUGGUUAGUAACGGGUGGGGAACGUCCCCCGGAAACGGGAAUAGCCUCUGGAAACAGGGAUUAAUGCCCGAUGUUGCGUUUGGGCCCGCGGGUCUGGACGCGAAAGAUGCCGCAUUUAUGUGGUGUCGAUCCGGGAUCGCCCCGCUUCCGAUUAGCUUGUUGGCGGGGUAAUGGCCCACCAAGGCAGCGAUCGGUAGCUGGUCUGAGAGGAUGGUCAGCAACACUGGGACUGAGAUACGGCCCAGACUCCUACGGGAGGCAGCAGUCUAGAGGCUUCGGCAAUGGACGAAAGUCUGACCGAGCGACGCCGCGUGAGCGAUGAAGGCCUUCGGGUCGUAAAGCUCUUUCGACGGGGAAGAAGGCGUUGGAGGCGACCCUCCAGCGAUUGACGGUACCCGUAGAAGAAGCCCCGGCUAACUCCGUG
rnacentral:rRNA from 1 species